rnacentral:rRNA from 1 species
CCAAUAGCGUAUAUUAAAGUUGUUGCAGUUAAAAAGCUCGUAGUUGAACCUUAGGCCCGUGCGGGCGGUCCGUCCUCUGGGCGAGCACUGCUUCGUCGCGGGUCUCACCUUCUGGCGAGCGUGGAUGCCAUUUAUUUGGUGUCCGCGGGAACCAGGACCUUUACCUUGAAAAAAUUAGAGUGCUCAAAGCGGGCUCCGAC